GCCUGGCAUGCUUUUGUCCAUGGAGUCGCAAAGAGUUGGACACGACUGAGUGACUGAACUGAACUGAACUGAACCCAAGGAGAAAGGUCAAGAAUCUCACGUCGGUGAAUAAGCAGGUGAAAGUGCAGAGGAGGUUUAGAUUCCGAAUAUUCAAGGCACAUUUCCCCAAAGGCCACUUGGCAAGACGCCUUCUCAUUUAGCUUCUAGUCUAAUGAAUCUCAUUAAUGAUUACCGAGUCAAGCUCCAGGAUGGCAACGCAUCUGCAGCUGCUUGCAGGCAAAGUUGUAGAGGGUGAGAGCUUGAAGGGAGAGCAGGUUCUAAAUCGAAGUCCUUCCUCACACUAAAUCGGUAAGUCACUUAUCUUGGUGUUGCUGUGAAAGACCUCAAAGGGUCCUUUCUGUGUAGCAGUUGUAUAUUUUUGACAAUUUUUAUAUGCCCCCAAGUCUCAGGUUUUCUCAUAUGGAUUUAAAAAAAGUGAGUGGAGAUAUAAAAGCCCAGUUUCCUUAAUAACAUGAACAGAAGAGAGGCAGAAGCAGGAAGCUGAAGUUUUGUGUCUGAUAACCCAGAACUUUGAGAAAAUGCCAACUGUGGAAGACCUUUCCAAUAAACAGGUGCUGUAGUGAAAUGUUUAAAGGCAGAGAUUUGGGAAUUCAAUUUGGGGGCUUGUGAACAAACAUCAGAGCUUUCAUUUACCAAUGGGAUGAGCUGGAUGAAACGGGUCAAUAAUAUCUCCAUCUGGUGUUGAUGUGAACUGCCUGGGUUAGUAGUUAACAACUGUGGUUAUCAUAAUUUCUGUUGUUGCAACAGCUGGUAGGACACACAGGAAGAGCUACAGAGUGGUUGUGAAAGAACAUUCCGGAUAAGAAAGCAUUGGCAACCGCAUCACUGUCUCUUACAUGAAAAUUCAUUCCCUCCCACUCCCAUUAAAGUUGUGCAGGAUUUUUCUCCUGGACAGAUUCACAGCAGCAACAGGGCUAUUAUUCCCAGUGUCCUAAAGGACUCCGGCCUUUUGUAAUCAAAUUCAUUGCCUUAGUUUCCCACCCAGAUCAAUUAGGGUCCAGGACUUUGACACAAGACAGAACUGGGGGUGACUCUGGUCUAAGACAGCAUCUAGAGGAAUGCUGAGUCAGAACCAGUGAGAUGGUGUGAAAUUUAACCAAACAAAAAUGUUUGGGGAUAGAUGAGGCAAUGGUAUGGUCAUCACAGCCACCAGAAAAUUGUAGGUGGGUUGAGGAUAGUUGGAAGGAGGUGAUCAGGGAGAAUCCUCAAGGCAGGGAUGUAGAAGUUACAAGUUUUGGGUGGUCCUUGUGGCCUCUCAGAUAUGUAGACACAAUGCUAUUAUUAGAACACCCCCAGCCUUUAAACCCAGGGGGCUCUGCAGGAAGGUAAACCUCAAAAUGAUUCCCUGUGAACAUGACUUCAAACCAGAAACAUCUCACUAUGCCAUAUCAUCUCAGAUUCAGGCAACCAGCAGGGUUUUCUCGACCAAUAGUGGGAAAUAAGGUAGCUGUUAAAAAAUAUGUGUGAAUGUACAUGUGGGUGUAAACACAUAUAUAAAUAGAAAACACAUAUGAUAUAUAUGUACUUUCUUUUGCAUACCCCUUGGCCUUGGAGGCUAAUGGGAGUGAAAUUAUCCUGGCAACUUCACUGCCGGGGCAUCCAGCCAGAAAACUUUCUUGAGGUCACCAAGCUCUCCUGAAAUUCAGCUGCUCCCUUGAGAGUCAGAUGCUCUCAGAACUUUCCCUUAUGUGGGCCUCUGUUUGCUCUCUGUGCUCAGCCACCUGUUUAGCUGUGUGAGUGAAUGCUCAUAACAUCUCCUGGGAGAAUUAUCUUCAUGUACAUGGUCACAUCUGCUGAGACUGGACACUCUGAUUUCCAAGACAAGGCAUGCCCUGUUGUCUGGAAUAGAGGUAGUAGAAAACUGGAAGUACUCUGACAUUCAGAAUGUUCCAGUCCAAAUAGUCCUACAGUAGGGGGAUGGUAAUGUCUCGUAACCACAGAGUUACAUUGACUGACAUCAUAGCAGAACAUGGAAGUGAGAAUAAAUAUCACACAUCGGGAAAAGCUGUUAAUAAAAACAACAUAUGCUUGUUCAUCAUUGCCAGGUUGUACAAGACAAUACGUCUGGCCACAUAUUUAUUAUUUAGUCAAGUAUCUCCCAAACAAUAUUUGCGUUUAAAAUCAGGGCAGUUAACCUACGUGUAUAAGGUCUAUUUUUUAAAAUUGAAGUAUAGUUGGUUUACAAUAUUGCUAGUUUCAGGUGUAAAAGGUCUAUUUUUAAAAAGUCCUGGCCACACCAGGGAAUUAGAAUGCCUCAUGCCAAGAUUUGAAGAGAUACCUCUCUAAAGAAGCUACACGGAUAGCAAAUGAAAACAUGGAAAGAUGCUCCACCUCAUUAUAGAAAUAAAAAUUAAACCAUGAUGAGAUAUUAAUACACAUCUUUCAAAAUGCCUAAAAUUAAAAAGACUGACCACACCAAACUGUUUAGUAUGUAGUGGAUCUGGACCUCUCUCAUACACUGUUAGUGAGGAUGUAAAAUGGUACAACCACUUUGAAAAGCAAUGUAUCAUUUUCUUAAAAAGUUAAACAUAUGUUUAUCAUAUGACCCAGCCAUUCUACUUAGAGGUAUUUAAGAAAAAUGAAAGCACAUGUCUAAACAAAGACCUGUGCUUGAAUGUUCAUGGCAGCUUUAUUUUUAAUGGCCACAAACUGCAAAUAAUGCAAUUUUUCAUCAAAAGGUGACCAGGUAAACAAAUUGUGGUAUAACCAUGCCAUGAAGUAUUGCUCAGCAAUAAAAAGGAAUGAAGUAUUAAUAUGGGCAGCAUAGAUGAAACUCAAAGUAAUUAUGCUGAGUGAAAUAAACUCCAGCAAUGAUGGCAGUAAACCAUAUAGCAACCAUGUGCUGUCUAUUGAAUCCUUAUAAAUCCUUGAUGAAGGUGCUGCAGCUGCACUGUUGUUGUUGUCCUUGUUAUUAACAACAGAUGGGAAACUGAAAUACACAAAUUUGUUCCUGGUAACACUUGGCGCAUUAGGUAAAUCACAAGCCUGGAUAUGAACCAAGGAACGCCAAGCUCCAAAUCUACCACUGUGAAAUUGGCACUUGGUGAGUACUCUAGAUCCUAAAUAAUAAACAGUUCCAAACCUUAGGUAUGCCUGUUGUAUUGAGCCAAGAAUAGGUGAUGAUCCUCUUCUACCAACCCAGAUGGAAUGGCCCAACUUUUUUUUGAUAGUAAUAUUUAAUGAAAUUCAUUACAGUAGUUUGACAGAUAAAGGAACGGAGGCAGAGGUAUCUUUAUUAAUUCAUCUGCUAUUGCAAAGUUAAGAAGUAUCAGAGGUCCUCUGAUUCUAGAGCUUGAGAUUCUUCCUGAAACAAAGCUGCUUCUGAUCACAGGUUAAACAGUGUAAAUAAAUGUUGGACAAGACUCAGCCAGAUGUGAAUUAGAGUUAGGUUACUUUGGCCCGCCCUACUUUGCCAAAGGGGUAGCUGGAUAGGAGAGUGGCUCCUGGUCAGGUGGACUACUUGACUCCAAGUGACUCCCACCAGCUUUUGUUUGCCUGUUGCCCACUUUUUAUUUUUAUUUAAUUUUUUCUGUUGCUCAUUUUUAAAGUGUUUUAAAGGAGUCUCUUUUCUCAUGCCUGAUAUAUUGGAUCACACUCCAUCACCCUGAGAGGUGAAAAACAGACAUCAGAAGAGAAGAACACAGUUACCACUAUGACAGAGUUGAGUCCCACAGCAGGGAAGAACUCUCAAGAUAUACAAGAGGAUGAGAAGCUCAACCCUAGGAAAGCUCCUGGCAUUUGUUCCACUCGCUAUGGAAUAGCCUUCAUGGUACACCUCUGCAACUUCAUAAUAAUGGCACAAAAUAUUAUCAUGAAUAUCACCAUGGUAGCCAUGGUCAACAGCACAACCCAUCAGCCCUCAUUUAAUGACUCCACUGAGGGGUUGCCUGUUGAUUCCUUUGGUGACCCAAAUAAUUCCCCAAAGAGUCUUCCUGCAGGGGCCCCUGUGUAUGAUUGGAACCCUCAAAUCCAGGGCAUCAUCUUUAGUGCUAUCAACUAUGGCAUGAUUCUGACACUGGCUCCCAGUGGGUACCUGGCUGGAAGAGUAGGAACAAAACGAGUGGUUGGUGCUGCUCUGCUUGGAUCCUCCCUUCUUGUUCUUUUCACCCCUCUGGCAGCUGACUUUGGACUAGUUUUCCUCACUGCAACUCGAAUACUUCAGGGCAUGAGCCUGGGGUUAGGAUAUGGGGGUCAGUUUGCAAUCUGGGAAAGAUGGAGUCCUCCACAUGAACGAAGUCGACUCUGUGGCGUCGCUGUAUCAGGAUUGCUGCUGGGAACCUCCAUUGCCAUCCUGCUGGGUGGCAUCAUCAGUCAAACCCUCGGGUGGCCUUUUGUCUUCUAUAUAUUUGGAGGUUUUGGCUGUGUCUGCUUUCCUCUCUGGUGUGUUUUGGUUUAUGAUGAACCCGUCGCUCAUCCAUGGAUAAACAUUACAGAGAAAGAAUAUAUCAUAUCCUCCUUGGCCCAACAGGUCAGCUCUACUAAGCAGCCUCUUCCCAUCAAAGCUAUGGUCAGAUCUCUACCCCUCUGGUCCAUGUGUGUUUGCUGUUUCAGCCAUCAGUGGUUAAUUAAUGUAAUAACUAUAUAUGCACCAACUUACAUUAGCUCUGUGUUCAACAUUGAUAUUAGAAAUAGUGGUUUCCUGUCUGCCCUUCCUUUUAUUAUUGCCUGGGUUGUUUGCCUCCUGGGAAGUUACCUGGCAGAUUUCCUUCUGACCAAGAAUUUUAGGCUUGUUACAGUGAGGAAAAUUGCCACAGUUCUAGGAAAUCUCCCCUCCUCAACAUUCCUUUUGGUUCUGCCAUUCGCUGCCUCCAACUAUAUCAUAGCAGUGAGCCUUCUGACACUCUCCUGUGGACUAGGCCUGUUAUGUCAGCCAGGGGUCUAUGUCAAUGCCUUAGAUAUUGCUCCAAGGCAUUCUAGUUUUCUCAUGGGAAUGUCAAGAGCAUUUGCACAGCUAUCUGCUGUCCUGGCACCCACUGUCAGUGGAUUUCUUCUCAGUCAGGACCCUGAAUUUGGGUGGAGGAAUGUCUUUUCCUUGUCAUUUGUCAUUAACACAUUAGGACUGAUAUUCUAUCUUAUCUUUGGAAAAGCAGAUGUCCAAGACUGGGCUAAAGAAAGAAAACUUACUCAUUUAUGAAGGUAAAGAGUAAUGAUUUCAUCUAUGGUUAAAACCACAGAAGCACUAUUUAAACUUAAUUUUUAUUUUACGUUGGAGUAUUACAUGUUUAACUCUAUGUCAUUUUUCUUUCUUAGUUACCCCACUUUGGAUGGAAAGUCAUUAGGUACUUUAUCUCAUAAAUGAGAAGGCUUCAGUGGUGGACAAACAGAAAAAAAUUUUCUUUGCUGUAGCUAUUUUCAAAUCUGAGAUCAUUUCUUUAUUUUACUCAGACUUCUUUUUGAGGAAAAUAUAAGAUGAGUAAAAAUCCAAAUAAAAUGAUAGCCAAGAAAAAAGUUGUCAUCUUCAUGGAAUUAACAGUGCAUUCAGAGAAGCUGCUGUAUGGGAGCCAGUAUGCUAGAUUCAUAGAUUUUGGAUCUCCAAACAGGAAACAAUGUUUUGAAACUCUUAAUGCAGGGCAAUAACCUCACUAAGGCAAUGGUUCCUCCUGUUUGCAAAAACGAACACCGAUUUAUAUUUGUUGGGCUCAGUAUUGUCCAUGUGUUCCUUCCUUUGCGUGCUCCACUCCCCUCCAUCCUGCUCAGGCCCCAGGAGGCUGACCUGUGUGGUUUGCACCCCACACUUUCUCUACUGGCUUCUGCUGGAUUUUCAGUGGAGGUAGGAGAGUGAGGAUAAGAGUAUUUAUCUCUACUGUUCCUCCCCGUGGAGACUGCAGCGUUAUUCAUAAUAGCCAGAAUAUGGAAACAGCCCAAUUGUCCAUCAAUGACGAAUGGAUAAAGAAGAUGUUUAUUUAAGCCAUGAAAAUAAAAGACAUUCUGCACAACAGGAAUGGAUUUUGAAGGCAUUAUGCUAAGUAAAAUAAGUCAGAUAAAGACGAAUAUUUUGAUAUCACUUAUCGGGGAAAUCUAAAAAAAGCCUAAUUCAUAGAAACAAGAUUACAAUGGUAGAGAUUAGAAUGGGAGUUACCAGUGGCUGGGGGAUAGGGGAAAAGGGGAGAUGUUGGUCAAAGAGUACAAACUUCCAGUUAUAAGAAGAGCAAAUUCUGGG